UAAGUUAACUUUUGAUGUUAGAAGACAACAAGACCGCUAAAACUUACUUCCCGAGAAACCAUGACAUGACGUGACGUGACGGCCUGUUGAAUAGUACCAUUUGAUAUACAUUGUGGAAUGUUGUGACGUGACAGCUAGUGUGAAUUUGCCUUCAAGUGGAAAUGAAAUGCUGACACGUUGUCUUUUUUGUUUUUGUGGCCUCUUUUCUACAACCGCAGUUUCACAAGUAAUAUGGGAUAUAUUUCCUCUUCUGCGAUUCUAAUAAAAGUAUUUAUUCAGACCACAAACGUUUCGCUUCAUUUAAAGCAUUUAACGGCUGAUUCACACUAAAACAUCAAUGGACCAUUACAUCAUUACUACUGCAAGGUGUAUUCACACUGGCUGUCACGUCACGUCAAUUCGCUUAGCCUAGCGCCAAAUGGUACAAGUGAGUUUGUGAGAUACCAAUAGUGACACGAAAGUAGGAUUACAGUACCGGAACCAUGGAGGUAUAAAAUAAACUGAGAGGCCCUGGUGUCACAAGUAUUAUAGUUUUCCAAAAGGUGAAGGCCAGAAGGCUCUUUAGGAGUAUGCCGCGAGGAGAAAGAAAUCGUGAGCGUCUAAACUGUGCACUAAAAGUACCCAGCAUUUUCGAGAAGAAAAUGAACUGAACGUCGCUUUCAACAAUUUUUCUUAGAGAAGAUUCUGUGACAUAAGAUUUUCUUCCCCACCAAAAACAUUUACAAAAGAUGUCUGUCCUCAAUUAUGAAAGAAAGCUCAAUGGAGAAAACAUCAGAGCCGCCAAGGAACAAUUGCAGUUUGUCUUGAAAACAAGGCAAAAUAAUAAAAUAAAAAUUAAGAAGAUAAAAGAGCAUGAUGUAUAGUAGCCAACUAUAACAGCAGACGAUGGCACAGUUCUCCCCUCCCACCAAUGUCACCGGUAAAACGUUUUUUUCCCGAGAAGCCUUGAUGGUGACAUGAUGUUACAUGAAAUGACGUAACAGAUGUUGAUGGCCUGAGUGAAUGCUACCAUUUGAAACACCCUGUGAAAUGUUAUUACAUGAUGUGAACGUAAGUGUUAAUUUGUUGGGAAUACAUGGACAGUAAUUUCGUGUGUGAGUGUGUAUACGGCAAAGUGUAGUACACUGAGUGUAACAGACCUCUACGAGUGCCCUGUAUACUCUGUACAUUGCCUCAGUUACCGAUUGUAAAUAUGCUGUUCUAUGUAAUGGAUGUUAAAAUAUAGCUUGCCUUACUCCUGGA